rnacentral:snoRNA from 1 species
GGUGCUACCACAGGCUGUGUGCUUACGCUGACUGUACCGAGUAAACUCACCCCACAUACACCUCAGUUCAGGCUCUUUGCCUGGUCUGUGUUGUGAAAGGGGAGACAUUA